UACAGAGGGGGCAAGCGUUAUUCGGAAUUAUUGGGCGUAAAGGGCGCGUAGGCGGCUUGGCAAGUGGAAGGUGCAAUCCCUCGGCUUAACCGAGGAACUGCCCUCCAAACUGCUUUGCUUGAGGCCGGGAGAGGCGAGUGGAAUUCCCAGUGUAGCGGUGAAAUGCGUAGAUAUUGGGAGGAACACCAGUGGCGAAGGCGGCUCGCUGGACCGGUUCUGACGCUGAGGCGCGAAAGCGUGGGGAGCAAACGGG
rnacentral:rRNA from 1 species